ACUCUGAAACGGCAAAACCGGCGAAAGCCGGUGACGCAAAGCCACGGGUCUAAAGCAUAGCGCCAUGAUCGCCGGGCCGCCGAA
rnacentral:ncRNA from 2 species